ensembl:miRNA MIR6644-1 microRNA 6644-1
GCAGGAUUCACCCUGAGAGACGUCACAUGGCUUGGCUGUACCAACUUAGCCCCCUCCUAGGGGGGGCUAAGAUGGUACAGCGGAGAGUCAUCUUCGUCUGAGGUCCCACU